rnacentral:rRNA from 1 species
CCUACGGGAGGCAGCAGUGAGGAAUAUUGGUCAAUGGGCGCGAGCCUGAACCAGCCACGUAGCGUGAAGGAUGACUGCCCUACGGGUUGUAAACUUCUUUUAUAAAGGAAUAAAGUGAGGCACGUGUGCCUUUUUGUAUGUACUUUAUGAAUACGGAUAGGCUAACUCCGUGCCAGCAGCCGCGGUAAUACGGAGGAUCCUAGCGUUAUCCGGAUUGUUUGGGUUUAAAGGGGGCGUAGAUGGGUUGUUAAGUCAGUUGUGAAAUGUUGCGGCUUAACCGUAAAAUUGCAAUUGAUACUGGGAGUCUUGAGUACAGGUGAGGUAGGCGGAAUUCGUGGUGUAGCGGUGAAAUGCGUAGAUA